CAGGGAAUAGUUUAAAAAAUAAUAGUUUUGGAGACUAUAGAUAGAAAGAAUUUUCUUUUCCUGAA
rnacentral:tRNA from 1 species